GGGGAUGGGGCCAUGCCUCAGUGGAAGAGCAUCUGCUUUGCAUGUAGAAGGUCCUUGGUUCAGUCCCCGGCAUCUCCA